rnacentral:rRNA from 1 species
GACGAACGCUGGCGGCGUGCUUAACACAUGCAAGUCGAACGGAAAGGCCCUGCUUUUGUGGGGUGCUCGAGUGGCGAAAGGGUGAGUAACACGUGAGUAACCUGCCCUUGACUUUGGGAUAACUUCAGGAAACUGGGGCUAAUACCGGAUAGGAGCUCCUGCUGCAUGGUGGGGGUUGGAAAGUUUCGGCGGUUGGGGAUGGACUCGCGGCUUAUCAGCUUGUUGGUGGGGUAGUGGCUUACCAAGGCUUUGACGGGUAGCCGGCCUGAGAGGGUGACCGGCCACAUUGGGACUGAGAUACGGCCCAGACUCCUACGGGAGGCAGCAGUGGGGAAUAUUGCACAAUGGGCGGAAGCCUGAUGCAGCAACGCCGCGUGCGGGAUGACGGCCUUCGGGUUGUAAACCGCUUUCGCCUGUGACGAAGCGUGAGUGACGGUAAUGUGUAAAGAAGCACCGGCUAACUACGUG